rnacentral:tRNA from 13 species
UGGUUCCGCCGGGAUCGAACCGGGACCUUUCGCGUGUAAAGAGAGAUGUGAUACCACUACACUACGGAACC